GAAUGAUGAACAAUAUUGAGGAGAUCGAGGAAUCUCCCAAAAAUUUUCUCAUGACUUUUGGGAAGUCCAAGGUCUUCCAUUAUAUACAUUGGAUCCAAUGACAGUUUGAAUGGCCAAAAAUCUACUUAGAGAAUCUUUUAGUGGCAGUGGUAGAGAUAUUCAACCUUUCCAUGGCCACCUACUUAAUGUAGUUGUUCUUCACCUCUCUCAAGCCUACUCGCUUCUAAUCAUCUCCUUCUGCCAUCUUUGCCUAUUUCCAACAGUGACAAAGAAGGCCAGACAACCAAUUCCGCCACCCUCACCCUACACAUCCAUUAGACAAUCCUGAUCAAGGACCGGUCAAUUAGACCUGGGUGCCUCCAUCCACGCAGAUCAGUUGAUUGUUGCUCUGGGAUUCAUGCCCAUUGCGCAGAUUAAUCACAAUUGGCCCUUUUGUGGGGUACAAGAAUGUGAAUCUACUUCAGUUCACCCUUACCUAAAAAAAUGCAUCUAAACAGAGUAAUUCAUUACAUUUUCUUUAGCUGAUUUGGUAAAAUACUCAUGCAGACCAAUGAAAUUGAAGUAGAUUCGCAGCUUUGUUCAUAUGGAGUCAAAAAGUGACAAACUCAAUGAAGAAGGAUGGCCCAUAAAGUGAAUAUAAAUGAAUGUAUUUUUUUCAGUACCCAAUCCCAUGUUUGCAGAUUUUGAAGGUCGUGGAAUCAGACUUCUUUAAUGAGGAAAUUGUCGUAGACCGUGUUUUAGUACUUGCCACAACCUUGUUCUGCUCAUCAGUGAGAUUGGAUGAUUUUGCUUCCACGAACAUAAGUGGACUAAGGGAUUUCAACUAGAAAAGAAUAAUGGAUAAACAUGCCAGAAAACUUUUUGGAGAGCAACCUCUGCAAUUCCUUCAAUGUUGAAGCGCCGGUAAUCAUCGCUAUCUUCAGAACCAGAAAGUAAACUUGUUUGGGAGCUCCGACUGCCU